GUGGCGUUUGUCAAAGUACACGUUGCCUGUACUGUAAAUAUGAGUUAAACUUUACUAAAUUCUUCAGUUAUAAACUCACGCUGUUCGGUCAGGUGAAUUUUUGUCCGGACAGGCUUACUUUUCCAUCAGCCUGUCCGGUUGACAGGCACUGUUUGGGACUUUUCAGAAAGCCUGCUAAUCGACAAUUCACAACUUCCGCCAUAAAACAAUUUGUUAUCAAGUUUAUGUUUUGAGCAUUUCUCAACAAAAUACAUGCAAAUUGAUGUCGAUUGCCACAGGUAUUGUGUUUGUAACAAUGUAUUAGGUUGAUUGAACUCAAUUUUAUAGACAUACUUGUGACAGAUUUUUUUUACAUAGUUUUUGCCUUUGCAAAGUGGAACUAUGAGCUGUACGUAUGUACUCAUAAAAGCUCAGAGCAUUCAAGAAGAACUAAAGGAAAACUUACCCUCUAUAUUUUCCAAAAAUGUGAUCAGUCUGUCGAAAGCGGCUAUCUGGUUUUCUGUCAUUUUAUUGACAAUGUCACCAUCCUUUUCCAAAAAUUUGGUAAUAACCUCAAAGUCAAAUAAAUCAGGAAGCAAUACGAUUGACCGUUUGUUUUCAUCGACAUCGUCGAGAUUUCUCUGUGUCUUACACCAAGCCUUUGAAAAGCUACACGCGUACGCACCGUUACAAUGAAGGAUUUUUACAAAGCAAAAUGUUAUCCACUGAUCCGUCCUAAGAUUGUCCAUCGCAGUUAAAAUUUCAUUUUUAAAUUUCAUCAAGCGACUGUGAAUUUGACUAAAAGUAUGUCCCCUUUUCAGUCGUUUUUGUGGUGGAUUUUCCGCCAUUUUUCUGCACAUAGAAUGAAAAAAUUCUCACUCAUAAAAAUGGCAGUCUCGUUGAGGCUAUAUACCACCAAUAGUUGUUAUUCGGAACUCUCCGGUCUGGGUUUUUCCGAUAUUUGAGCACGCGCGGUAGGUACAAACAAAGGCUGGCGCGAAAAUUUAAACCGAUAACUUACAUUUGAGAAGUUCGCUAUAUUUUCCAUUAAAACGUCGUAAUGCCAACAAAAAGAUGCAGUUGGGGAACGUGCAAUAGUGACAGCCGUUAUUGCCACAAACCGCAUAUGACUGGUGUACCGUUUUUACCCUUUCAAAAGCCAAAUGUGGACAUGGAAAGAUGUUUACACUGGAUAAAACUAUGUGCGCGUCAUCACUCGACCUUAUCAGCGGAAAAGAUUGGGAAACACCAUUAUAUUUGUUCAAAAGGACUUCCCCGUUCGAUGACGUCAUCACAAAAUGUAUCCAAGUAACGAAUGACGUCACCGUUUUGUGUGUACAUAGCAAGUGUCAACACCGACCGCUACUCGCACUUUUUAUUAAAAAUGAUGACAAAACAAGUAAGUGCUAUUAUUUAUUGGACGAUUGCCAUUGAGGAACAAACACGCGAUUGGUUCGGCAUGUACUCAGGUACCAAACUUUUUCAAACAACAAUCUGCACAGUCAAAUACUCGAUUUCAUAAUCAUUUCACAUAGUGUUUUUCUUUCACUGUCUAAGCCAUGCAUUACAUUUAAAUUUAAAGGUGGUAAAUCACAUUUGAGUAUCAUUUCAACAUGACCAAACUUUAUUAUCUGAUAUUGUACAUAUCCAAGGUGCCUGAACCACGUGACUUUUUCGGCUAUGUGUGGGACAAUCGGAUGUAAACAAAACGUCGCUUCAGAAUGCCUUUGUUUGCGAACAGUGUGGCAGAGAGGUCAAAACACGGUCGGGGAUCUCCUAACACAAAGCCACCCACGCACGGACAGGAAAAAAGUUCCGUUGGGCAAACUUUUUCUUGUUUGUUUCUAUAAAAUAUAUUGUUACAAAAUGUUGAAUUUUCAGUGAAUUGUUACUGCCGACUAAUGCACUUGUUUAAUACACAAAAUCGUAAGGAUUGUUUGUGCAAGAUGUCAUGUGAAUAUUAUUGCAACAAAACUACAAAAAGUGUUAGUUGUGUGUUUUUUAGCAGGAAUGUGUAGGCAUUUUUGACUGUAACGAAUUUAAUAAAUAAGCAUAAAGAGAUCAUAAGCAUUUUUAAACAAAUAGACACUAGGAUCAAUGACAUUUUUUUCUGGAAAAUCAUGUAUUUGUAUGUAAAUCCUAUUGAGCUAUCUGAUAUAUCACACAUGCUAUUUUUUAAGUUUAACAGUUUAUAUCAGUUGUAUUUUGUUCUUUUCAGGGAGAUUAAAGUAUUUUUGGAAGCACCUUCAAGAGACGUACUGAUAUCUUGAUCAAUGAAAAGUUGUCAUAUACAAACAUGUAUAGUAAAUGUUCCAAAGUUUAAAUGACUGUUUGAUUUAUUACCAGAUGGUGCAAGUAUUGCAGGGAAAGAAAACAAUCAAAGUAAACAUUACAUAAAAAUUUGACAUUUCAACAAAUUGAACAACAUUAUAUGAUUUAAUGUUAAUUACUUGGUGCAGUGGUAACAAGAUCUUGCAGCGCCCUUUCAUGACCGGGGCGAAUGGGUAUUUUCAUUAAACAUCUCAAACUAUUGUCAGUUAUUCAGCUUUCAUUUGAAUUUGAGUAAAUUAAGUAUUGAUGCAAUUCAAUAUGUUUGUUGGCAUAAUGACCCCCACAAGUCAAGACGUUUUGGCGAUGAUCAUUUGUUAUGACUUAAUUGAAGCAUUCAUAUGUUUGAAUAGCAAGAUUUGCAAAUUCAUAAAUUGACUGAUUACAAUUUCUUUGUGAAUACUAAUGUACUUCUUUAUGUAUUUGGCGCUUUAAUUUCUAUUGUUACAUGUGCAUGCUAGUUAUAAAGUAAUGGUAUUAUUAA